GGUUAGUGCACUUUGCAAAUUCGCAGGCCCUAUCCUGUGGUAUGAACUGAGUACGCGAUAAUUUAUGGUGCAUAUUAGGGGCUUACCAUAAGAUAAUGCCAUGAAUUCGCAAAGUGUUCAAACC
rnacentral:pre_miRNA from 2 species